UCCAUGCUAAGAGGACGUGUACCUGUGCAACAUAUACGCUUCAUGGCGUUAUAUAUGGGGGAAAACCCAAUGCUUUCAGCUUGCAUUAUAUCAGUCUUUGUCAGAUAUAUUUCAUAUUCACAUUGGACUUUGAGGGAUUUCAAGCAAAAUUGAAAUACACAUUUGAAGUUUUGAACCCUGUUUGCAUCUUAUAUAAAGAAACUAAGUGAUAUAGUUUGACAGAAGACUAUAUAUUCCUCAGUAACGAUGAGACGGAGUUCUUCAAAGAUUAGGGAGUUCGGCAUUGUCAUAAUCGGUGCUACGGGAAAACAAAAAAGGCAAACAAGGAAAACUAGGAAAGUAAAGCAGAAAAGAAGUGUUUGUCCAAUAAGUUCAACAAAAACGAUAAAACGCAGGAGGACAUGUACAAGACCCCGUGCUGAUUUAGUAGCAAUUUGGGCGUAUGCAAUGAGCACUGGAAUGGUUAUGAGAAGUACCCGAUAAGUGCAACAUGGAUAUAUGGACAGCUAAUCUCAAAGAAAAUUUUUAGCUGUUUUUGAAAUCAUAUAUGUUGUAUAUUGAUGUACGGAUUUUAUCAGUCUGAAUAAAAUUG